UGUUGGCAAAAGGCUUUGAGGACCUAAUAUCAAGUGUCUUCAGCUCCUGCUGCAGCUCAUCAGCAGUGAAAAGGGGACAUUUUUUCACGUGUAUGUUGUUUACCUGAGAGCAUUUCCACCGCAAGAUGUUACAGAGGAUUUCCAAAACAGGUGUGGCCCAUAUCCCAGCUUUGUCAGGCUUCCCGCCAAGCUCCUGCUGAGUACAUUAUCCUGCUUACCUUCUAAUAACAAUAAUUCUACUGUGGAGUUGCACUUGUCUUCAGGAUUCACCCUUCCUAUUGGCCUAAGAAGAUUGUCAAGAGGCUAUGAAGCAAAGCAGUAUGAAAGAUGUUAAUCUUGACUGAGCUAAGCAACAUCCUCAGGGAGAAGAACACAUCAGAAAAAGGAAGAUCAUCUUUCUGCACAGCAAUUGGACUCCAGUUUAUUAGAAAAACACCAUGGAAUUCAAGAAGCCCAGAUCUCCCCACC